AUGGCGUCUAGCGAUGGAAACUACCACCGUAGAGGUCCUUACUUUGAUGGUACUAAUUUUGCUAGUUGGAAGCAUAAGAUGAAAAUGCAUAUUCUCGGACAUAACCCCGUCGUUUGGGCUAUUGUAUGUAUUGGCUUGCAAGGUGAAUUCUUUGAUGGGAGAGAACCAAACCGUGAAGCUAGCGCAGAAGAGUUGAAGAUAUUGCAAUACAAUGCUCAAGCUUGUGAUAUCCUCUUCAACGGAUUGUGCCCCGAAGAAUUCAAAAAAAUCAGCCAUCUUGAGAAUGCAAAGGAGAUUUGGGACACUUUGAUUGAUAUGCAUGAAGGUACCGACUCCAUCAAGGAAUCCAAAUUGGAUGUGUUUCAAAGUCAACUUGACAAGUUCAAGAUGAAGGAUGGUGAAGGCGUUGCUAAAAUGUACUCUAGGCUUGCUCUCAUCACAAAUGAGAUUCCCGGCUUAGGAAGUGAAGAGAUGACCGAUAAAUUCAUCAUCAAGAAGAUCCUAAGAGCCUUGGAUGGAAAGUAUGAUACCGUAUGCACAUUGAUCCAAAUGAUGCCCAGCUACAAGAAUCUCAAGCCAACGGAGGUCAUCGGAAGAAUUGUUGCUCAUGAGAUGUCACUCAAGGAUAAGGAGGAGCUGCACAAUAAGUCAAGUGGUGCUUACAAAGCCUCAUGUGAAGCUCGCACAUCAUCAAGUGAGAAACAAACCUUCAAUGAAGAAUUGAGCCUAAUGGUGAAGAACUUCAACAAAUUCUACAAGAGUAGAAGUCAGGAAAGAAGUUCU
rnacentral:rRNA from 1 species